rnacentral:rRNA from 1 species
CAGCAGCCGCGGUAAUACGUAGGGUGCGAGCGUUAAUCGGAAUUACUGGGCGUAAAGUGUGCGCAGGCGGCGUCGCAAGUCGAGUGUGAAAUCCCCGGGCUUAACUUGGGAAUUGCGCUCGAAACUACGAUGCUGGAGUGUGGCAGAGGAAGGUGGAAUUCCACGUGUAGCGGUGAAAUGCGUAGAGAUGUGGAGGAACACCGAUGGCGAAGGCAGCCUUCUGGGCCAACACUGACGCUCAUGCACGAAAGCGUGGGGAGCAAACAGGAUUAGAUACCCUGGUAGUCCACGCCCUAAACGAUGAUGACUAGUUGUUGGGGGAGUUAAAUCCCUUAGUAACGUAGCUAACGCGCGAAGUCAUCCGCCUGGGGAGUACGGUCGCAAGAUUAAAACUCAAAG